CCUACGGGUGGCAGCAGUGGGGAAUAUUGCACAAUGGGGGAAACCCUGAUGCAGCGACGCCGCGUGAGUGAAGAAGGAUUUCGGUAUGUAAAGCUCUAUCAGCAGGGAAGAAAUAAAGUCCGUCGGACUGUGGACGGUAGCGGACUAAGAAGCCCCGGCGAACUACGUGCCAGCAGCCGCGGGAAUACGUAGGGGGCAAGCGUUAUCCGGCUUUACUGGGUGGAACGGGAGCGUAGACGGCAGCGCAAGUCUGGAGUGAAAGCCCAUGGCGUAACCCUGGAACGGCUUUGGAAACUGUGCAGCUGGAGUGCAGGAGCGGUAAGCGGAAUUCCUAGUGUAGCGGUGAAAUGCGUAGAUAUUAGGAGGAACCCCAGUGGCGAAGGCGGCUUACUGGACUGUACCUGACGUUGCGGCUC
rnacentral:rRNA from 1 species